rnacentral:lncRNA from 1 species
AUGAAGGCUUUCCAUAGUCACAUAGAUGAUUCACCUUUGCCCCCUCCAGUCUUCUUUAGCCUCUAUAUACUCUAGCCCUUCCACCAGGCCAUGUGAAGGUGAAGAACUACCAGAGUGCUUCAGUAGGAUACUUAGGUGAGACUCUCAUGCCCUAUUCCCUCCAUCCUUUCCCCCACCUGUGCGUGUGUUCGCGUGUGUAAACUGGCCGCUAGCCCAUCUGGGACGAUCUUUUGCAUUUUGCAAAAUGAUGAAACAGCCAAAGAUGGGUGUUUGGCUUAAAGGACAGGGCAAUCACUCAAGACUCCUUGUUCCAGUAAUCAGCAACUCUCCGGACCCUUUAUUUCCAGGUCCUUGUGCCUUAACAAAACCCAGGCCUAAAGUCAGCUGUUCUAUUUGACUUUCUCAGUUCUACAGGAUUGGAGAGAAUUCUAGAUUAGUGGGACUGCAAAUUCAGUGUCUAGUUCUUUCUCCCUUUGUACCCCCAGGUCUUCUUGUCCCCUCCUUAUCUCCCUGCCCCCUCUCCCUGGCUUGCUCCUUUUUCACAGCAGCAAUUCCAUGCUUUCACUUUGGUCUAUAGAGCCCCUGCUGUGUUAUAUUCACUUUAUUUUCAACUGGUAAAUUUAAUUCCUAUUACAGUAAAAAAAAAAAUCAAGAUUGGCAUUAAGAUCACUCACAAAUCCCUUUCCUUCCCUCACUGUUAACUUCUACAGAUGGAACCCAUACCUUCUGUAUUCCUUUCUCAAUAGAGGAAGUAUGUUCUUCAUUUCAAGACCAGACCUUUCACUUGAACUUCAGAUUCCUUUCCCCCCCUCAUCUUUCCUUAGUACUUUUUCAUUGUCAGUUUCUUCUGUAUCUUUUUGGUUUUCUUUUGAGACAAAAUCGUAUCAUGAAUCCCAAGCUGACUUCCAACUUUCAGUCCUCCUGCCUCAGCCUCUGAAAUUCUGAGAUAAUAGAUAUGUGCCAGAAUGCUCAGCUUCCCCUGUAUCUUCCAUCUCUCUCAGAAGUCUUUAUUGUUUAUACAACCAUGCUUAUGUUUUAUACUGUAUGUGUGUAUGUGUGUGUGUAAACUAAUUUGACCCAGCAUUUUUCUUAUUUUUCAAUUUUGUCAUAGUCUUUAUUUUAUUUUAAUUUAGUUUUAUUUAUGUAUCUUUUCUUAUCUCAUUUAAUCCUACAGGUCCUUUGUGUAUGUAUAUAGUAUGGUAUCCAGUUUGGGGCUUUAAUUUUUAUUUUAUUUUAUUUUUUAGAAGAUUCCUCAGUAUGAGAAUGAGUGGGUCUCUGUUUCUUUUUUAAUUAUGUAUUUUCUUCAUUUACAUUUCCAAUGCUACCCCAAAAGUCCCCCAUACCCUCCCCCCAGUCCCCCACCCAUCCUCUCCCACUUCUUGGCCCUAGUGUUCACCUGUACUGAGGUAUAUAAAGUUUGCAAGACCAAUGGGCCUCUCUUUCCACUGAUGGCCGACUAGGCCAUCUUCUGAUACAUAUGCAGCUAGAGACACGAGCUCUGGGGGUAUUGGUUAGUUCAUGUUGUUGUUCUACCUAUAGGGUUGCAGAUCCCUUUAGAUCCUUGGGUAAUUUCUCUAGCUCCUCCAUUCGGGGCCCUGUGAUCCAUCUAAUAGCUGACUGUAAGCAUCUACUUCUGUGUUUGCUAGGCCCUGGCAUAUCCUCACAAGAGACAGCUAUAUCAGGGUCCUUUCAGCAAAAUCUUGCUAGUGUAUGCAAUGGUGUCAGCAUUUGGAGGCUAAUUAUGGGAUGGAUCCCCGGAUAUGGCAGUUUCUAGAUGGUCCAUCCUUUCGUCUCAGCUCCAAACUUUGUCUCAGUAACUCCUUCCAUGGGUGUUUUGUUCUCAAUUCUAAGAAGGGGCAAAGUGUCCACACUUUGGUCUUCGUUCUUCUUGAGUUUCAUGUGUUUUGCAAAUUCUAUCUUAUAUCUUGGGUAUUCUAAGUUUCUGGGCUAAUAUCCACUUAUCAGUGAGUACAUAUCAUGUGAGGUCUUUUGUGAUUGUGUUACCUCACUCAGGAUGAUGCCCUCCAGGUCCAUCCAUUUGUCUAGGAAUUUCAUAAAUUCAUUCUUUUUAAUAGCUGAGUAGUACUCCAUUGUGUAAAUGUACCACAGCUAAUUUGUUUCCAUUUUCCCUUAACAGUUAAACUUUAGGAAGUAACAAUGUAAUCUUGCUGUCUUGGCAUUUUAGGCACUCGUUGAUUCUUCAUAUCCUCCUAGUUUGUUUCUGUGUUUUCUUUACUACUGAGUCUGUACUUACUAGGGUGACUUUUGAGUUCCAUAUUGUAAAAUUCAGCAGGACUUUUUGGUUUUAAUUUUUAAAAUUAUUCUUAUUGAAAUUUUUUUAAUAUAAUAUACUCUGGUCAUACAUUUCCCCUUCCCCAACUCCUCCCAGAUCCUCCAUACAUCCUGCAGGCAUCCAAUUCCAUAUCCUUUCUUUCUCUUCCUAUUUUAUUUUAAACAAUACACUAGCAAACAAGCAAAAUAAACAAAGCAAGCCCCCCAAGCCCAAGAAACUCUCAUAUACGCCCACAAAAAUGGAAACCAAAAUAUACAAGCAAAUGACUAAGACAAACAAACAAACAACAACACAAAAUGUCUAUAAAGAUACCAUUGAGUUUGUUUUAUGUUGGUUAUGUACUGCCUGACAUACAGCCUAUCGGAAGUGUGGUUAAUACACUCAUUGAAACUCCAUUGAGAAAAUUAAGUUUUCUUUUUUUGCAAGUGGAUGUCAGUUGCAGAUAGCUUUUUGGUUUUGUUUCUGUCACACCAGAUAAUGUCCAGUCUUUUAACUUUCAUUUAAACCUUCAAUAACAGAUGCUACAAUGUAGUGGUGAUAAAGUUAGCUCGGUGAUUAAUGUUUCUCAGUGAAUAUUUAUUGAAUGUGAGAGUUAAAUUAUAUUUUAAAUGUUGAAAUUGAGAUAUAAUUCACACAUAAAACUCAUCUAUUAUAAGCAUAGCAUUUAUUGAUUUUAGUGUAUUUACAGAGCUAUAUAACUGUCGCCACUACCUGAUUCAGGAACAUUUUCAUCACCCUC